CCUACGGGAGGCUGCAGUGGGGAAUAUUGCACAAUGGGCGCAAGCCUGAUGCAGCAACGCCGCGUGAAGGAAGACGGUUUUCGGAUUGUAAACUUCUAUCAUCAGGGACGAAAAAAAUGACGGUACCUGAAUAAGAAGCCCCGGCUAACUACGUGCCAGCAGCCGCGGUAAUACGUAGGGGGCAAGCGUUAUCCGGAAUUACUGGGUGUAAAGGGUGAGUAGGCGGCAUGAUAAGUUAGAUGUGAAAGCCCAAGGCUUAACUUUGGGAUUGCAUUUAAAACUACUAAGCUAGAGUACAGGAGAGGUAAGCGGAAUUCCUAGUGUAGCGGUGAAAUGCGUAGAUAUUAGGAAGAACACCGGUGGCGAAGGCGGCUUACUGGACUGAAACUGACGCUGAGGCACGAAAGCGUGGGGAGCAAACAGGAUUAGAUACCCGAGUAGUC
rnacentral:rRNA from 1 species